UAUAGAUGCGGGCUGCGAGCGGCGAAAAUGGGGGGGGUGCAAGGGUGAACUGGAAUACAAGGACGGAAAGCGCACGCGGGCGGUUGGAGAAGUCAGAUGGGCAAGCCCCGGGCGUAACCUUGGAAGUGCAUUUGAAACGGUCCGGGUAGAGGCGUGUAGAGGGGGGUAGAAUUCCAGGUGUAGCGGUGAAAUGCGUAGAGAUCUGGAGGAAUACCGGUGGCGAAGGCGGCCACCUGGACAAAGACUGACGCUCAGGUGCGAAAGCGUGGGGAGCAAACAGGAUUAGAUACCCUAGUAGUC
rnacentral:rRNA from 1 species